GAUGAACGCUGUCUACAGGCUUAACACAUGCAAGUCGAGGGGAAACGCCGGGGACGCUUGCUUCUCCGGGCGUCGACCGGCGCACGGGUGAGUAACGCGUAUCCAACCUGCCUCUGACUGAGGGAUAACCCGUCGAAAGUCGGCCUAAUACCUCAUGGCAUCGUCUGCGGGCAUCCAACGACGAUUAAAGAUUUCAUUGGUCAGGGAAGGGGAUGCGUCUGAUUAGCUUGUUGGCGGAGUAACGGCCCACCAAGGCUACGAUCAGUAGGUGUUCUGAGAGGAAGGUCCACCACAAUGGAACUGAGACCCAGACCAAACUCCGACGGGAGGCAGCGGUGAGGAAUAUUAGUCAAUGGGCGGGAGCCUGAACCAGCCGAGUAGCGGGCAAAAUGACGGCCCUAUGGGUUGUAAACUGCUUUUAUGCGGGGAUAAAGUGAGGGACGUGUCCUGCAUUGCAGGUACCGCAUGAAUAAGGACCGGCUAAUUCCGUG
rnacentral:rRNA from 1 species